rnacentral:rRNA from 1 species
GACGAACGCUGGCGGCGUGCUUAACACAUGCAAGUCGAACGGAAAGGCCCUGCUUGCAGGGUACUCGAGUGGCGAACGGGUGAGUAACACGUGGGUGAUCUGCCCUGCACUUCGGGAUAAGCCUGGGAAACUGGGUCUAAUACCGGAUAGGAGACAUUUUUAGUGUGAUGGUUGGAAAGUUUUUUCGGUGUAGGAUGAGCUCGCGGCCUAUCAGCUUGUUGGUGGGGUAAUGGCCUACCAAGGCGGCGACGGGUAGCCGGCCUGGGAGGGUGGACGGCCACAUUGGGACUGCGAUACGGCCCAGACUCCUACGGGAGGCAGCAGUGGGGAAUAUUGCACAAUGGGCGCAAGCCUGAUGCAGCGACGCCGCGUGGGGGAUGACGGCCUUCGGGUUGUAAACUCCUUUCGCUAGGGACGAAGCUUUUGUGACGGUACCUAGAUAAGAAGCACCGGCUAACUACGUG